AGAGUGUGAUCCUGGCUCAGGACGAACGCUGGCGGCGUGCCUCAUACAUGCAAGUGGAGCGACGAACCAGGGCUUUGCCCUGGGGCUAAGCCGCGAACGGGUGAGUAACACGUGGGUAACCUGCCCCGAUGACCGGGACAACCCGAGGAAACUCGGGCUAAUACCGGAUGUGCUCGCUGCGCUCAAGCGCGGUGAGUAAAGGAAGCUUCGGCCUCCGCAUUGGGAGGGGCCCGCGGCCCAUUAGCUUGUUGGUGAGGUAACGGCUCACCAAUGCUGCGAUGGGUAGCUGGUCUAAGAGGACGGUCAGCCACACUGGGACUGAGACACGGCCCAGACUCCUACGGGAGGCAGCAGUACGGAAUCUUGCGCAAUGCGCGAAAGCGUGACGCAGCAACGCCGCGUGGGGGAAGAAGGCCUUCAGGUUGUAAACCCCUUUCACGAGGGACUAAGGUGCGGCUGCGAACAGCCGUGCGUACUGACGGUACCUCCAAAAGAAGACCCGGCUAACUACGUGCCAGCAGCCGCGGUAAUACGUAGGGGGCUAGCGGUGUGCGGAAUCAUAGGGCGUAGGCGAGCGUACGUUGCCCGGUAAGUCCGCUGUACAAGUACAUGUCUCAGUCCUGGAACAGCCUGUGGGAUACUGUUCUCGGCUCUAAGUUCGGGGACGAGGUCCAAGUGGGGAAUUCCCCUGGCUGUAGCGUGUGGGAGNUGCCGCANCAUAUCCCCGAGGCACCGGCUAUUACCCAACGGCUUCUCNUUUGUGACGGCUCCUCACCCCUAGGUCCCCAGGCAGUGNGGAUCAACGUGGAUGGG
rnacentral:rRNA from 1 species